UACGGAGGGUGCAAGCGUUAUCCGGAUUUACUGGGUUUAAAGGGUGCGUAGGCGUCUCAACAAGUUUUCGGUGAAAGCUUUCCGCUUAACGGGAAAACUGCCGAAAAAACUGUUGAGAUUGAAUUUAGGUGAAGUGAGUGGAAUACAACAAGUAGCGGUGAAAUGCUUAGAUAUGUUGUAGAACACCGAUUGCGAAGGCAUCUCACUAAUCUAACAUUGACGCUGAGGCACGAAAGCGUGGGUAGCGAACAGG
rnacentral:rRNA from 1 species